rnacentral:tRNA from 1 species
GCUUUAUAGUGGAAAAAAAGACGUUAAAUUGCAAAUUUAAAGAUGUAUCGGUUACUAAAGCUUA